GGGCGUGUGGUCUAGUGGUAUGACGUCUGCUUCGCAUAAAAAUUGUGAUUGAACGAGCUUCAACCCUCGAUUCAGCAGAAGGUCCCGGGUUCAAAUCCCGUCUCGUCCA
rfam:Malassezia pachydermatis strain CBS 1879 scaffold1, whole genome shotgun sequence.